rnacentral:rRNA from 1 species
GACGAACGCUGGCGGCGUGCUUAACACAUGCCAGUCGAACGGAAAGGCCCUGCUUUUGUGGGGUGCUCGAGUGGCGAACGGGUGAGUAACACGUGAGUAACCUGCCCUUGACUUUGGGAUAACUUCAGGAAACUGGGGCUAAUACCGGAUAGGAGCUCCUGCUGCAUGGUGGGGGUUGGAAAGUUUCGGCGGUUGGGGAUGGACGCGCGGCUUAUCAGCUUGUUGGUGGGGUAGUGGCUUACCAAGGCUUUGACGGGUAGCCGGCCUGAGAGGGUGACCGGCCACAUUGGGACUGAGGUACGGCGCAGACUCCUACGGGAGGCAGCAGUGGGGAAUAUUGCACAAUGGGCGGAAGCCUGAUGCAGCAACGCCGCGUGCGGGAUGACGGCCUUCGGGUUGUAAACCGCUUUCGCCUGUGACGAAGCGUGAGUGACGGUAAUGGGUAAAGAAGCACCGGCUAACUACGUG